CUCUUAAUAAGAUCGUGGAUAACACACACUGUACACUGGCACCUCUUUUCUCUUUCUAACCAUUUAGGAUCAAUAAUUUCCUUUCAAACUCAGUUUCAGUUUCUCUAAAUCACAUCCCAAAAACUCUUCCAUCCCAAUCUCCCUCAUUAAACAUGAAAAUUCUUUACAAACAAGUAGAACCCAAAAAACUCAGAACAUUAAACCUAGAAAAACAUUUGAAAUUCUCCCAAUCCUAUUCUAAUAAAAAACCCAGAAAAAGGGAGAACCAAAAAUUCAGAGAAAAGAAUUCCGAUAAAUCCAUAAUCGGAGCAUCACAUAACAUUUUCUUCUACUCAUAGAGAUAUGUUAUCUAUUUGCAUGUUCUAUUCAUAAUGGUACAAAAGUAUUUUUUUAUUAGUUGGGAUCUAUUUGUUUAAAAUUAAAAUUAUAGUAGAGCAUUGAAUUUCUCAAAACUCAAAUUCUCUAAUUCAGAACAAAAGGGUUUUUCAUUGUUUUUAUUUUAGAUCCUUUUUCUUCGAUUCUUUAUCUCCCCCAUAAACAAUCUCUAGUUUCCUCUUUUUCAGUUUUAAAUUCCUUCAUUUUCCCCUUCUUUCGAAUCUAAAUCGUCGAUCGCUGCUCUUCACAGAAAACCCUAACCCCCUAUUUUGCGUUGCAAAAUUAUUGCCACGGCUAAUAAGAGUUCAUUCAAGAUGAAACACCCUAUUGGUUCUUUUAAUAUCCCUCUCACAUAUUCUUCUUUUAUUGCUUAUUUAAUUUUUCUUAGCAUGUGUUUCUUUCAAUUUUGAUUUCCUAGUUCAUCUUUUUGGUUUAUUCAAACCUAGGGUAGGGUUUCAUCUUUUGAUUUUAAUUUUAUUUUAAUUAUUUUUAGAAUUGUGCUUCCAAGCAAACUGAGAUGAAGAAUAUAAGGGAGAAGCGGUAUUUGCUUUCAUGGAGUCGCUAUAUUGUUGAUAGAUGUAAAGAUGACUAUUUUAACAAUUUGCAUUUCUAUUUUGAUGCUAAUGAAGCAUAAGUAAUGAAGAUUAAGUAAAAAUUAACUAAUAAAACUAGGAGUAGUCAUUGAUUUUAUUGUGGUAUGCUGCAAAUUUAAAUAUACACAUGGUUUGUACAAGUUUUGGAAAAAGUUUCAAUAGAAAUGUUAGGCUAGUUAUAAUAAUUAGAGAUGAUUAUAUUAGUUAUGCUAGUUAGAUUUUUGGAUGUUAUAUGUGUAAAUUUAUGGAAGUUGGUUUAAUAAGUAUGUGUAUGUGUGUGUGUGUUGCUCAUGAAUAGGUAUUCCUAAACAAGGAUAAAUUUCAGUACAUUAGAUGGUUAAGGAUGAAUUAAUAAAAUGUUAAUUUUCAGUACCUGUUACAUAAUUAAUAAACUAAAUAAGCUAAAUUAACUUGAGGUUUUGUACAUUAAUAAUAAAAAUUAAUAUUGAAUUUCUCCUCAAUUAUCACUAUGUGCUGAUUAUGAUUGUCUAUGUAGUAAACAGUGGUCUUUAGGUGCUCGCCAUAUUACGUGGCUUCAAUUAUGAAGCAUUUAAGUUCAGAAGCAAUCGGAGAGAAAAUGAGGGAGGUGGAGAACAUAGGCUUUGGCUGGCUAAGAUAUGUGUCUGAAUGGGUUGUCAACCAAGAUAUAAUGGCAGCCUUAGCAUCAUCAUACAGACGGAAUGAGAAGUCAUUGAUUGUUGGCACCAGAAAAAUCCCGAUAACAGUUGAAUUCAAUGCACAGUAUUUUGUCUACCGAACCAUGGGGCGAGAUUCAAGAAACCAAAAAUACUAUAAGAGCACCAAAUUGUUUAGAGCUUAACGGGAAAGACACAUGCACAAUUGAAAAAUGAUGUUACCAUAUGCUCCAUGGAGACCAACGACGAUAGAAUUAUGUUCCGAAGACACUUCAUCAUGCUAGUAUUAAAGUAUUUUUUCUUUCCCUCGCCAAAGGCUACCAUUUCAGACAUAUAUGUGUUGUGAUUGAUGUAUCAAACCUAAGGUAGAUCUAUUGGGCCAGGUAUAUUUACGAUGAGCUCAUUGCGAGGGUUGAGAGGUUGGAAAGAAGACAAUGGAUGGUUGUAUGUUUAAGGUGCUAAUAAUAUAUCUCCAUACUAAUAAGAAAGGAGAUUUAGAAAGAUACAAUGAGAGAAAAUUGUGGAUUAGAGACUGGACGCUUGCAGAUCUGAAGACGAUGGAUGAAGAGGAAAGCAUGUGGCAUUCGGUCUUCAAAAAUUUAUUGGGAUGAAGUUUGCUCCAUCAGGAAAGUGCAAUCAUGUAUCAAAUAGAGGAUGCAUGGGGGGAAUACAAGGUGUAAGAAGAGGACAUGUAAGGAAACGCCCACGAGGAUGAGACUAUGACCGACACACCUGCUGGACAUGCAUUAGCUGGUAAUUUUGAUGAAGGUCCUUUAGAGAAAAGGCAAGUUCAUGAUUUUCUAGCAUUAGUACGAGUUCGAAUGGUUAAUAUUCCAUUCUUCUUUUUUAUUCGCCUUUAAUGGUUUGAUUAUAAAUUGAUACUAAAUUUUGAAAUUUAUAUGCAGAAUAAGUACGUGUUUCUCUUUGUUUUUUUUAAUUUGGAUGUUAUGUAUACCUAACACAGGAUGUUAUCUGUGUAACCUUAUGCACGUUAAAUGUUUGAAGUUGCGGGUGUUACUCUUCCUCCUUUACUUUAGUCUGAACCAAAAA